rnacentral:rRNA from 1 species
GACGAACGCUGGCGGCGUGCUUAACACAUGCAAGUCGAACGGUGAAGCGCCUUCCUUUUUGGUGGGUGUGGAUGAGUGGCGAACGGGUGAGUAACACGUGAGUAACCUGCCCCCUUCUUCUGGAUAACCGCAUGAAAGUGUGGCUAAUACGGGAUAUUCUGGGUCUGUCGCAUGAUGGGUCUGGGAAAGAUAUUGUUUCGGUGGGGGAUGGGCUCGCGGCCUAUCAGCUUGUUGGUGGGGUGAUGGCCUACCAAGGCGGUGACGGGUAGCCGGCCUGAGAGGGUGGACGGUCACACGGGGAAUGAGACACGGCCCAGACUCCUACGGGAGGCAGCAGUGGGGAAUAUUGCACAAUGGGCGCAAGCCUGAUGCAGCGACGCCGCGUGAGGGAUGGAGGCCUGCGGGUUGUGAACCUCUUUCGCCAGUGAAGCAGGCCUGCCUCGUUUGUGGGUGGGUUGACGGUAGCUGGAUAAGAAGCGCCGGCUAACUACGUG